UACGUAGGUGGCAAGCGUUGUCCGGAAUUACUGGGUGUAAAGCGCGUGUAGGCGGGAGGCCAAGUCUGCUGUGAAAUCGCCCGGCUCAACUGGGCGGGGUCGGUGGAAACUGGUCACCUGGAGGACGGUAGAGGCGAGUGGAAUUCCCGGUGUAGUGGUGAAAUGCGCAGAUAUCAGGAGGAACACCGGUGGCGAAGGCGGGUCUCUGGGCCGAUACUGACGCUGAGGAGCGAAAGCGUGGGGAGCGAACAGG
rnacentral:rRNA from 1 species